UGCUAAUACCGGAUAACAACACUAGACGCAUGUCUAGAGUUUAAAAGAAUGGUUCUGCUAUCACUCUUGGAUGGACCUGCGGUGCAUUAGCUAGUUGGUAAGGUAACGGCUUACCAAGGCAAUGAUGCAUAGCCGAGUUGAGAGACUGAUCGGCCACAUUGGGACUGAGACACGGUCCAAACUCCUACGGGAGGCAGCAGGU
rnacentral:rRNA from 1 species